AUUGAACGCUGGCGGCAUGCUUUACACAUGCAAGUCGAACGGCAGCGCGGGCUUCGGCCUGGCGGCGAGUGGCGAACGGGUGAGUAAUGCAUCGGAACGUGCCCAGUAGUGGGGGAUAGCCCGGCGAAAGCCGGAUUAAUACCGCAUACGACCUGAGGGUGAAAGCGGGGGACCGAAAGGCCUCGCGCUAUUGGAGCGGCCGAUGUCGGAUUAGCUAGUGGGUGGGGUAAAGGCUUACCAAGGCGACGAUCCGUAGCUGGUCUGAGAGGACGACCAGCCACUCUGGGACUGAGACACGGCCCAGACUCCUACGGGAGGCAGCAGUGGGGAAUUUUGGACAAUGGGGGCAACCCUGAUCCAGCCAUGCCGCGUGCGGGAAGAAGGCCUUCGGGUUGUAAACCGCUUUUGUUCGGGAAGAAAUCCUCUGGGCUAAUACCCCGGGGGGAUGACGGUACCGGAAGAAUAAGCACCGGCUAACUACGUG
rnacentral:rRNA from 1 species